rnacentral:rRNA from 1 species
GAUGAACGCUGGCGGCGUGCCUAAUACAUGCAAGUCGAGCGAACAGACGAGGAGCUUGCUCCUCUGACGUUAGCGGCGGACGGGUGAGUAACACGUGGAUAACCUACCUAUAAGACUGGGAUAACUUCGGGAAACCGGAGCUAAUACCGGAUAAUAUAUUGAACCGCAUGGUUCAAUAGUGAAAGACGGUUUUGCUGUCACUUAUAGAUGGAUCCGCGCCGCAUUAGCUAGUUGGUAAGGUAACGGCUUACCAAGGCAACGAUGCGUAGCCGACCUGAGAGGGUGGUAGGCCCACCUGGAAAGUGACAGCCGGUCCGGGCACCAAGGGAAGGCGCCGAAAGGGACUGUACGGAAAGGGGGGAAAUAUUGCAGAAUCAGCGCAAGGUGGAUGAUGAAGGUCUGCGUGUGGUAAAACGCUGUUAUGGGGAAGAACAAAUGUGUAAGUAACUAUGCACGUCUUGACGGUACCUAAUCAGAAAGCCACGGCUAACUACGUG